rnacentral:rRNA from 1 species
AACGGAGCUGAGAGGAGCUUGCUUUUCUUAGCUUAGUGGCGAACGGGUGAGUAACGCGUGAGUAACCUGCCCUUCAGAGGGGGAUAGCGUUUGGAAACGAACGGUAAUACCGCAUAAUGUAUUUUGACCGCAUGAUCGAAAUACCAAAGAUUUAUCGCUGAAGGAUGGACUCGCGUCUGAUUAGGUAGUUGGUGGGGUAACGGCCUACCAAGCCGACGAUCAGUAGCCGGACUGAGAGGUUGAUCGGCCACAUUGGGACUGAGACACGGCCCAGACUCC